UACGGAGGAGGCAAGCGUUAUCCGGAAUUAUUGGGCGUAAAGAGCUCGUAGGUGGUUUGUCGCGUUGUUCGUGAAAACUCACAGCUCAACUGUGGGCGUGCGGGCGAUACGGGCAGACUUGAGUACUGCAGGGGAGACUGGAAUUCCUGGUGUAGCGGUGGAAUGCGCAGAUAUCAGGAGGAACACCGGUGGCGAAGGCGGGUCUCUGGGCAGUAACUGACGCUGAGGAGCGAAAGCGUGGGGAGCGAACAGG
rnacentral:rRNA from 1 species